rnacentral:tRNA from 1 species
GGCGGCAUAGCUCAGGUGGCAGAGCGUCGGACUAACAGUUCGGAGGUCCCCAGAUCGAAACUGGGUGCAGUCG